GUUUCCAAUUAUUUUGAUUAUUUUGCAGGAAGCGAACAAUUUUAACGAUCGGCAUAUUUUUCGAUACUCGUGAACAAGAGUGUACAACCUGGACGUUUAUACACACCCACAUUUCUCUCAAACGCACAAACAUCCGCAUUCCGUUUAUAAUACUAAAAUUUCGCUGGAAACAGGGAAACGCGAGAUCAGGUAUCUACUAAAUCGCUUAAACUAUAUAGUUUAUACCAGCGCGUUUACAGCUGUAACCAAUUAACGUAAUAACACUGCCUAAAUGAAAGCAUUCAGUUUAUACUCGUGCAUUCUGUUCUUUCAACAGCAUCCUGGAAAUCUGCGUGCUAUCAUUUUCGUAGAAAUCGAGAGAGCUUAGGUUGAAUGUAGAUCCGACAUCGUCAAACGGAAAAUUACAAAGUUCUUGAAUUCCUGGAAGGUUCUAACGGGAUAUAGGGUUUUGUUCCAAUGGAGAACGCAUAUUCGUUUCUAGGAAUCGGUGUUAAUUAAAUUUCCACAUCCGUGAACAAAGGGAUAUGAUUUAUCGUGCGAUAGCAUAUAAUGAAAACUAAGGCAAAGAAUGGAAUUUUUUGUUUUUCGUAGAAAACGUGAGACGACAUCGCCUUGUUAAGAGGAAAUAAAACCAUUCCAGGAAAGAAUAACGAUCGUCGUUAAGCGUAAUGUAAUUUCUUUCUGAAGAGUCAGUACUAAUCUAUCGCCCACGCGUAAUGCCUCGAUGCUAAGCAUCUCUCAUUUUGCAUCUCGUUCGUUGCCAUUCAUCUCGUCGUGUAAAAGGCAAAUAAAAUGGAAAGAAAUAUUUUUUAUUCCAAGAAGCAAUUAUUCAAACAACAAUUUAUCAACGGAUAAGAAAAUCAGAAAUGUCCCUUUUAAUAUUUUUCAAAUUAAUAUUAAAACCAUCUUUCUCUUCUUUUUUACACUCUUACUUAUCUGAAAUUCUUUAUCUCCUAAUUUCGAUAAACCAUUUUACAAAACGUAGGCUAUUGUCCGUUUUACGUUUAACUGUUAUGAAAUUUUGCAGUCCAUUUACGCAUAAUCUUGCGAGUAAAGUACAUUUUGCCAAAAGUAAUCGAGCGUCUGUCUACUUUUGAACAAUACUGUACCCAACAGCUACUUACAGUGGCUACAAAAAGUAUUUCUGUAUUAUUUCUACUAUUCUGUUUAUCCCAGCGUGCUAAUCAAUUAUAUUAAUUGAAACAUAUUAAUUGUCCUCUGUCUGCAAAAGCCUUACCGACAUUUACACGCUGGAUCGUUUAGGAUCAUGCAAUAUCUGUUUACGUUCUCGUGCUUUAAAAAGUGUGCUCAAAAAUUCUUGAAUACUCUUGCAAGUUGUUAGAAUAUCUUCCAAUAAUUUUCAUAUCGAUACAUGUGAAUCUCUUUAAGCGAAGCGGAAUCUAAGCAAAAAUACGAAGAAAGUGGAAAAUCGCUUAAAGUCACUGGUCGAAAACCAUCCACUAUGCAGAUGGACAGAUAAAUUUCGCGUCACUUGAUAGUACUAUCGUAUGACUACGAACUAUUGACACUAGUUGAAAGUGAAAUGUAACGGCUGAUGAAAAAAAAUUGAAAAAGAUAGAGAUACGAUAUUGUUAGCUGUAGCUGCACAGCCACCACGCACUCAGCAUCGCAAAUAUCGAAAGCCCUGAAGAAAAUUUGAAGAAGAAAUGCUGUAAUUUUAUAAAACUGAAUUCUAAUCGACGAGACGAGUAAACGUGUGACAGAUAUCGUAGAAUAGAAAAAAAAGUGUGUAAUAGGCAAAAAAAGAAAUGUUUAAUAUAAAUUUUACUUAGAAUUCAUACACGUAAGUAGAUAUGACUUUUCUGCCAAUCACUCACUGUGCAUUAUCUGACAUAAUUUAUCUCUCGUACUUAUUCUUUCAUCCAGGCAAAGGAAGCUGUCGGAACAAAUUUAAUUCCCGUUCAUUAGAUUCGUCGCCUUACUGAAUACGAUAUUCUCGAGUUCGCGGUUCAAGGGAAAGCGAAGAAUUCUGGUGGGGUCGAGAGUGUCACGUAAAAUAAAAAACAGGGGGCUCGAACGAAAAGAAAAAAUUAAGGUAA